rnacentral:lncRNA from 1 species
GCCGCAGAUUCGACACAAAACCCGGAAGGACCCCGCCGAAGGUUUUCUCCGGUUCGGGAGAGAGACGGAGUCCCGCUCUGUCACGCAGGCUGCCAGGCUGGCGUACAGUGGCGCAAUCUCAGCUCGCUGCAACCUCCACCUCCUGGGUUCAAGCGAUUUUCUUGCCUCUGCCUCCUGAGUAGCUGGGAUUACUGGCACACACCACCAUGCACAGUUCCUUGUUCAAAAUGCCAAGAACCUGGAUGACUCAUAGUCAAGACCCUCCACCAGUAACAUAUAUUGGCGAGCCAGCCAGGAGACCACUACAGGAAACACUCCAUUUAUUCCACCUGACUUCCCACUUGGCUGCAUCCUCAACCAUUGAAAUGAAUUUGACCCUGAUAAUCUAAGGAGGAAACAUUUGAUAUUCUUUUGCAAUAAUACUUGGCCCCAGUAUUGUUUGGAAUCUGGAGUUUGCUGUUGAAUGGGAAAGCAGGAUGACGUUGCAUGUAUCCAGGCUUUGGUGCUGCUGUCCUAAGAAGGGUCAGGCCUAGUCAGCAUAUGGUGCUCUCCUUUGGUGCUAUUUGGCUCCAGUGUCUUUGGAGUCUGAGGAGGUUUGGCCUUUAAAAAUCAAACUGCCACCGGAACUGCUUUAAAAAUGUUUGGUUCACAGCCUUCACUGGAUUACCUAUUGGAGCAAACAAAGUGUAACCAUGUAAAACCUGUGAGCUUGUAUUGAUAUCUCAUGGCUAGAGUUCCAAGGUAAAAGCUAUUGGAUCUUCGUUUGUGUGUGUGUAUACAUGUCUAGAUGUGUUUAUUUGUAUGUACACUUAUUGUUAUAUGUUGUGUCAACCAAAUCAGCUUAUAAAUAAAAAAGCACUCAUAAAUUAAAUAAAUAAGUCCAAGCAAUUUUCAAGUU